UUAUUUUCCAAUCCAAGAUUUGCAACUGUACAUUGCAAUCCCCGAGGUCACGAAAAAUGGCAAUCAACUCCUGCAGAUCAGAGAUUUCCAUAUUGACCAGGUAGGUGGAAGUCAUUGUAUCCCUCCUCAGCAUGUGGCACACAGUCGGGCGUCUCCGGAGGACCUCUCACGAACAUCACGACUGAACUACUCCAACACCCUGACGGUGCCAGUGCAGUGUACCGUCAACCUGCCUUCCUACAGAGACGUCAGCGUGAGAAUCGGUGGAUCCCUCCGAACUGAUUCACUGCAUGCGCUGAAGUUCAAAACCCUUGAGCUUGUGACGACAGCCUCAGUGGAACUGAACCCAUCCAGCCCUAUGU